rnacentral:rRNA from 1 species
AAUCAACGCUGGCGGCGUGCCUCAGACAUGCAAGUCGAACGCGAAAGUCCCCUUCGGGGGAUGAUUAGAGUGGCGCACGGGUGAGUAACACGUAGGUAAUCUACCUUCGAGUGGGGAAUAACUCAGGGAAACUUGAGCUAAUACCGCAUAAUGCAGCGGCACCACAUGGUGACAGUUGUUAAAGCAUUUAUGCGUUUGAAGAGGAGCCUGCGGCAGAUUAGCUAGUUGGUAAGGUAAUGGCUUACCAAGGCUACGAUCUGUAACCGGCCUGAGAGGGCGGACGGUCACACUGACACUGAAUAACGGGUCAGACUCCUACGGGAGGCAGCAGUCGGGAAUUUUGGGCAAUGGGCGAAAGCCUGACCCAGCAACGCCGCGUGAAGGAUGAAAUCUUUCGGGAU